GCGGAAGGAGGCAAAGUCCUCCACUGAAGGCAAAAACCGGAACGGCGGCGAGGGCGGAGGGGCUCACCUGUUUGGCUACAGCCGCGCCGCGUCCCGGGGGGGCCGGGGGAGUCUUCUUCUUGUGCAUCUUGGCCGGCGGAUGGGGGGCGGGGGACGACGGACGGGGACCAUGAGCCCCGCGCCGGGUCGGGCCGGCGCUCAGGCCGAGGGGCUGCUGGGGCCAGCUCGCCUCAGCGGCCCCGCCCUGCCCAGCUUCUGGCUACGGCUGCCUUCGCUCACCGCUCCUCCAUACUUUACUGGCUCUCCGCUCUCCUCCGCCUCCUCCCGCUCCCCUCCUCUCCCUCGCUCAUCUUCGGCCGGCCCCUCCCCUCCCCGGCCCGCCGGCUUGCCGGCUUUCCGGCCGCCGGCUUUCCGACUUUGCGGGGCCGCUUGACGGCUGGCCCGGGAAACGGACUACAAGUCCCGUGAGGCCCCGCGCCGGCGUUGAGGCGUUUGGGCGGGAAAGGCGCGCGGCCGGGUUGCUUCGAGGAUCGCGAAGCGGGGAGCGUGAGGAAAAGGGGCCCUCGGCGAAGGGAGCGUGAGGAAAAGGGGACUUCAACGAAGGGAAUAUAUCCCAGAGAGCUAAAAUGAAUGAGAAGAAUAAAAGAAAGGCUGAAUCAUCAGAAGAAGAUGAAAUCUCUUCUUUCCAAGCCAAAAGAGCCACAAGCAGAAGCUCUCAGGAGGACAUCAACAUAAACCAAGACGGAAUGGAGCUGGACUGGAUGCUUAACUUUGAUGAUUUUGAAAGCAUAGUAGAAGUACCCACUGCCAUUGAGCAGACUGAUAAAGAGGAGGCACCAGUAGAUAACGUAUCCAAUGAUGAAACAGUGAUUCCCUCUGGACAGAGUCGCCAAUGGGACGGUUUUGAUGAUAUUUUUUCCCAGGAACUGUUUUCAAAAUCAAGUGUUUCAAUGUCAGGAAGUGUCCAGGAUCUCAAUAGUCCCCACCACCCAUUUAUGUCAGAUGCUCAGUUGGAAUACUCUAAUGACCUAAGCAUGCUGUUAGGUCAGGAGGAGACCAAGAAAAGUCCCUUCCAGUCUCAGAAUAUAAAUCUAUUUGAGGCUGUUGGUUCAGAGGACUAUGAUCAAAGAAGUGGGGUUGAAUUAUUUCCACAAGAAAGCACUGAUGAAAAUCACUUUAUAAACGAAAUGACUUUCACCUUGGACACUGAAAACCCAGAAUACAAUAAUAUGGAAGCUGGUCACUCUGCUGAAAUAGUCAGAUUCGGCCAAAAUGAAGAAUGGUUCCUGCAGAGUGGUGAUGCUCAGGCUGCAGGGCAGAAACAAACCUCAGCAGAAGAAAGAGCUACCCUGUGGGACUUUUCUCGAGGAAAAAGCGAUAGUCAAGAUAAAGGCAUACUUGAGCUACUCCGUGGUUGGGAGGAUGAUCCCUCCCCCGAAAGAAGAGAAAAUGAGGAAAGCGGCAUAACCACAACUCUAUUCAAUUCAAAUUUGACAGUACCUGCUCCUGAACAAAGCCUGGGGGGUCAGGCUGAAGAAGAGGGCAGCAGUUGGAACCCUCAAGCUUUUGAAGCAUUCCCAAUCUUCUCUGAACUAGAGACACGCUCAUUUUUCAAUUUUGAUCACCCAGCCAGUUCUACCUUUGGGGAACUUGGUAAUUUAAGAGAGGAGAAAGGAAUUACAAAAGAUCUGGCAAAAUGGUCAUCUGAACUUGAAGGUAGCUCAGUCUUAUCUGUCUUUAGAAAAACAGUGCAGGAAAAGAGACAAGAAACUGAAGAUGAGGGGCUGCCAGCAUCUCUUGAACAGAACUGGGUAUCUUCUAGUACUGAUCAAAAAGAAUUUUCUCCUUUCAGGGAGCAAGGUGUCCAAAGUCUACGGUCUUUUCUGGAUGAUUGGGGGGAUCAAAACGAUCCUCCUGGUGCCAGAAAAAGUGACAAAAAGGAAAAAGCUGCCCAACUGCCAAAGAGAAGAGACGGUCUAGCUGAUCCUGAUGAGGAAACCAAAACCAGAAAAUCCAUCAGAGAAUCUUUCACCGAAGGAGAUGAUUCAUUCAUUAGUAGCACCACUAAUAGCAAUAAUAGCAAUUGGAAGGGAUCGGGCUAUCUGGAUUUAGACCUUUCUCUUGAGGACCAGAGUAAGGCUGUUGUUGAAGAUGAGAUUAAGGAUGUUUUUGACGAUAAGUUGCAGGAUGUUAUGGAAGAUAAGUUGCAGAAUGUUAUGGAAGAUAAGGUUCAAGACAUUUUUGAAGGUCACAUCUUCAAAUAUUCUCCUGAACAGCAAAAUUCUCUGAAUUUUGAUUCAAUAUUGGCCAUGCCUGGAAGUUAUCCAUGGACUGAUGUAGGGCAAACCAGUUCAAAUCUUCCAGUUUCACUGGAAGACCAAUCUUGCCAGAAUAAUCAAAAGUCCAGCCUGGAGGAGAAAUGCUCUUCUACUCAAGAGGAAGAUGCAACAGAAACAGUUUGUGGGCUGGCUCUUGAACUCUCUGAUCUCAAGUAAGACCUUCCUCUUAGAUCUUUUACGGAGAAGACCCUCACAGAAGAUGUCCGGCUGGUCAUGAACACCUACAAGAAAAUGAAGCGCUUCAAGGGACAGAAGGGGCAAUACAAUACAACUUUCUUUUAAGGGAACAAAGAACCUUCCUUACCCCGGAAAGAAAUGUUAAAUGUUGUAGAUCUAGGUCAUACCUUAGAGCAAACAAAUUUGAAACACUUGUCCUAAAUCCUUCAUAAUACUCAAGGUGGGGUGCUCUUCUUCUAUUACAGUGUUUUUUUAAAAGAAAGUGGGUAGGCUAAUGCCAAGGAGCUAGCUGUUUGGGGGGUGGGGGGGUAAAGGGCUUCUGUUCCAGCUGGAAUGGGUCUUUCUUUCAACAUCAGGGUGUAAAAAAGUAGGCCCAGAGUAUGGAUCACAUCCCAAUUUUAGUUUUUUCACUAAGAUUUGAGUUAUAAAUCUGGGCUGUGGGGUGGGGAGGCAGAUUAAAAUAGCUGUUUUUCAGUCUCAUCGAUCUACCCAGAGUAGAUUUUCAGUCAUCUUCAAGCAACUAAAGAUAACUGAAACUUUUAGUCAGAAUAAAAACAUACAAAAAUGGUUAAAGAGAUAAGGUCCUGCCUUUGUCCAGGAGUGAGUCUGAGUAACAUAUUUUAAAAGGAUUUUAGCUUAGCAAUGUUAGUUUGAAGAGGACUGUAACGCUAAAUAUGCUUAAGGUUAUUUAUUUAUUCCUUGAAAACUCAGUAUUUCUUUCUAAGGGGGAAAAGGUGUCUUUGUACCUCUACUUUUGCUUUAAGCAUUUAGAUCUUAGGACAUAUUCCAAUUGGUUGUUUUUUUUUCCACUACAAUUUAGGUUAUAGAUUCAGGUUGGGGGAUUAGAAUAGAUGUUUGUUUGGCUCUACAUAUACCCAGAGUAAGUUUUCAGCCACGUUCAAACAACUAAAGAUAAUUGAAACUUUUAGUCAGAAUAAAAACAGAAAAGUGGCUGAGAUAAGAUCCUGGCUUUGCCCAGGAGUCAUUCUGGGUAGUACCUUUAAAAGGAUUUAGUGGCUUAGUAGAGUUAAUUUGAAGAUGACUGUAAUGUUAUAUUUGCUUAAGAAGAUGAAAUAGGUUUAAUACGUUUUUGUUGCAAAUUACAUAUCAUUUGGUUAAGGUUAUUUAUUGAAAGAUUAGUAUUUAUUUUCUGAAAGGGAAAAGGUCCUUUUUGUACCUCUUCUUUUGCUUAAUGUUCAUUUAGGUCUUAGAAUAACAACAAUAAAAUAAGAUUAUUUAAAACAAGUCUCAGGUGUGUUGUCAUGUAGCUCGUUCAGUCCCCUGACAAUGUAGUACCUGUAAUGUUCCAAGCCACCCUCAACCCAUUUUUCCAAGGAGUUCCAAACAGUUUUCCUCUUCCUGUAGUCUCCAUAUAACACGC
rnacentral:lncRNA from 1 species